AUUCUCCUAGUAACGGCGAGUGAACGGAGAUUAGCCCAUCACCGAAGCCUGCGUGUGUUUGCAUGCUAGGCAAUGUGGUGUUAAGGCGUGUACCUGGGAUCGUGUCCCUACCCGAAGUCUAAAUCCGAUUGUGGCUUUGGAUUCAUUCCAUAGCGGGUGAAAGUCCCGUGCGGGUAGGACUAUUGCAAAUCCACACGAUCCUUAGAUGUGCAUGCUAUCGAGUCGGAUUGCUUGAGAAUGCAGUCCAAAGUGGGUGGUAAACUCCAUCCAAGGCUAAAUACUGGCACGAGUCCGAUAGUAGACAAGUACCGUGAGGGAAAGUUGAAAAGUACUCUGAAGAGAGAGUAAAUAGUACGUGAAGCCGAUUGCAGGGAAGCUGGUGGAGUCAAGCUUCGUGCUUGAGGAAUUGAUGCUGGGAGCAGGUGUGUGAAUUGUAUGUGAGAGUGGACAACUUGGAAUAAGUUGGGCGUGUUCUGAAUGCGCUUCAAGUCAUUCCGGGUAGAGUGUUAUGAGCCAUUCUCGCUUUGCUACUCUCAGUGUUGUAUUCCUCGCUGCACAGGCCACAGUCAAUAGGUGCAUGCGGUAUGAAGGCCUAACUGUGCUUCGGCGGGUGCAAGCUCUCCGGGCGCAGGAUGGCAGGUGCUGUCCUCGGACCUCGUGUCUGUUGAUAGUUG
rnacentral:rRNA from 1 species